GCCUCCUCAGUGCAGUAGGCAGCAUGUCAGCCUCAUAAUCUGAAUCUGGGUCCUGAGUUCAAACCUCAGAGGAGGCA